GCGACUUGUAGCCUAGUGGUUAGAGCGUUGGGCGACUUGUAGCCUAGUGGUUAGAGCGUUGAGCCAGUAACCAGCAGGUAGCCUAGUGGUUAGAGCGUUGGGCGACAGGUAGCCUAGUGGUUAGAGUGUUGGGCGACAGGUAGCCUAGUGGUUAGAGUGUUGGGCGGCAGGUAGCCUAGUGGUUAGAGCGUUGGGCGACAGGUAGCCUAGUGGUUAGAGCGUUGGGCGGCAGGUAGCCUAGUGGUUAGAGCGUUGGGCGACAGGUAGCCUAGUGGUUAGAGCGUUGGGCGACUUGUAGCCUAGUGGUUAGAGCGUUGGGCCAGUAACCGAAAGGUUGCUGGAUUGAGACCCCAAGCUGACAAGGUAAAAAUCUGUCGUUAUGUCCCUGAACAAGGCAGUUAACCCAACGUUCCCCGGUAGGCUGUCAUUGUAAAUGAGAAUUUGUUCUUAACUGACUUGCCUAGUUAAAUAAAGGUUAUAUAUCUCAGCAAAAAAAUAAACUUCCCUUUUUCAGGACCCCGUCUUUCAAAGAUAAUUGGUUAAAAUCCAAAUAACUUCACAGAUCUCCAUCGUAAAGGGUUUAAACACUGUUUGCCAUGCUUGUUCAAUGAACCAUAGACAAUUAAUGAACAUGCACCUGUGGAACGGUCGUUAGCUUCUUAGGGCUGAAAUCCUGCUAACGGGAUCGAUAUGACAACAGCCAGUGAAAGUGCAGGGUGCCA
ensembl:lncRNA